UUGAACGCUGGCGGCAUGCCUUACACAUGCAAGUCGAACGGUAGAGGGGCAACCCUUGAGAGUGGCGAACGGGUGAGUAAUAUAUCGGAACGUGCCCAGUCGUGGGGGAUAACGCAGCGAAAGCUGCGCUAAUACCGCAUACGAUCUAUGGAUGAAAGCGGGGGAUCGCAAGACCUCGCGCGAUUGGAGCGGCCGAUAUCAGAUUAGGUAGUUGGUGGGGUAAAAG
rnacentral:rRNA from 1 species